GGGUUGUGAGGUUAAGCGACUAAGCGUACACGGUGGAUGCCCUGGCAGUCAGAGGCGAUGAAGGACGUGCUAAUCUGCGAUAAGCGUCGGUAAGGUGAUAUGAACCGUUAUAACCGGCGAUUUCCGAAUGGGGAAACCCAGUGUGUUUCGACACACUAUCAUUAACUGAAUCCAUAGGUUAAUGAGGCGAACCGGGGGAACUGAAACAUCUAAGUACCCCGAGGAAAAGAAAUCAACCGAGAUUCCCCCAGUAGCGGCGAGCGAACGGGGAGGAGCCCAGAGCCUGAAUCAGUGUGUGUGUUAGUGGAAGCGUCUGGAAAGGCGCGCGAUACAGGGUGACAGCCCCGUACACAAAAAUGCACAUAUUGUGAGCUCGAUGAGUAGGGCGGGACACGUGGUAUCCUGUCUGAAUAUGGGGGGACCAUCCUCCAAGGCUAAAUACUCCUGACUGACCGAUAGUGAACCAGUACCGUGAGGGAAAGGCGAAAAGAACCCCGGCGAGGGGAGUGAAAAAGAACCUGAAACCGUGUACGUACAAGCAGUGGGAGCACGCUUCGGCGUGUGACUGCGUACCUUUUGUAUAAUGGGUCAGCGACUUAUAUUCUGUAGCAAGGUUAACCGAAUAGGGGAGCCGAAGGGAAACCGAGUCUUAACUGGGCGUUAAGUUGCAGGGUAUAGACCCGAAACCCGGUGAUCUAGCCAUGGGCAGGUUGAAGGUUGGGUAACACUAACUGGAGGACCGAACCGACUAAUGUUGAAAAAUUAGCGGAUGACUUGUGGCUGGGGGUGAAAGGCCAAUCAAACCGGGAGAUAGCUGGUUCUCCCCGAAAGCUAUUUAGGUAGCGCCUCGUGAAUUCAUCUCCGGGGGUAGAGCACUGUUUCGGCAAGGGGGUCAUCCCGACUUACCAACCCGAUGCAAACUGCGAAUACCGGAGAAUGUUAUCACGGGAGACACACGGCGGGUGCUAACGUCCGUCGUGAAGAGGGAAACAACCCAGACCGCCAGCUAAGGUCCCAAAGUCAUGGUUAAGUGGGAAACGAUGUGGGAAGGCCCAGACAGCCAGGAUGUUGGCUUAGAAGCAGCCAUCAUUUAAAGAAAGCGUAAUAGCUCACUGGUCGAGUCGGCCUGCGCGGAAGAUGUAACGGGGCUAAACCAUGCACCGAAGCUGCGGCAGCGACACUAUGUGUUGUUGGGUAGGGGAGCGUUCUGUAAGCCUGUGAAGGUGUACUGUGAGGUAUGCUGGAGGUAUCAGAAGUGCGAAUGCUGACAUAAGUAACGAUAAAGCGGGUGAAAAGCCCGCUCGCCGGAAGACCAAGGGUUCCUGUCCAACGUUAAUCGGGGCAGGGUGAGUCGACCCCUAAGGCGAGGCCGAAAGGCGUAGUCGAUGGGAAACAGGUUAAUAUUCCUGUACUUGGUGUUACUGCGAAGGGGGGACGGAGAAGGCUAUGUUGGCCGGGCGACGGUUGUCCCGGUUUAAGCGUGUAGGCUGGUUUUCCAGGCAAAUCCGGAAAAUCAAGGCUGAGGCGUGAUGACGAGGCACUACGGUGCUGAAGCAACAAAUGCCCUGCUUCCAGGAAAAGCCUCUAAGCAUCAGGUAACAUCAAAUCGUACCCCAAACCGACACAGGUGGUCAGGUAGAGAAUACCAAGGCGCUUGAGAGAACUCGGGUGAAGGAACUAGGCAAAAUGGUGCCGUAACUUCGGGAGAAGGCACGCUGAUAUGUAGGUGAAGUCCCUCGCGGAUGGAGCUGAAAUCAGUCGAAGAUACCAGCUGGCUGCAACUGUUUAUUAAAAACACAGCACUGUGCAAACACGAAAGUGGACGUAUACGGUGUGACGCCUGCCCGGUGCCGGAAGGUUAAUUGAUGGGGUCAGCGCAAGCGAAGCUCUUGAUCGAAGCCCCGGUAAACGGCGGCCGUAACUAUAACGGUCCUAAGGUAGCGAAAUUCCUUGUCGGGUAAGUUCCGACCUGCACGAAUGGCGUAAUGAUGGCCAGGCUGUCUCCACCCGAGACUCAGUGAAAUUGAACUCGCUGUGAAGAUGCAGUGUACCCGCGGCAAGACGGAAAGACCCCGUGAACCUUUACUAUAGCUUGACACUGAACAUUGAGCCUUGAUGUGUAGGAUAGGUGGGAGGCUUUGAAGUGUGGACGCCAGUCUGCAUGGAGCCGACCUUGAAAUACCACCCUUUAAUGUUUGAUGUUCUAACGUGGACCCGUAAUCCGGGUUGCGGACAGUGUCUGGUGGGUAGUUUGACUGGGGCGGUCUCCUCCUAAAGAGUAACGGAGGAGCACGAAGGUUGGCUAAUCCUGGUCGGACAUCAGGAGGUUAGUGCAAUGGCAUAAGCCAGCUUGACUGCGAGCGUGACGGCGCGAGCAGGUGCGAAAGCAGGUCAUAGUGAUCCGGUGGUUCUGAAUGGAAGGGCCAUCGCUCAACGGAUAAAAGGUACUCCGGGGAUAACAGGCUGAUACCGCCCAAGAGUUCAUAUCGACGGCGGUGUUUGGCACCUCGAUGUCGGCUCAUCACAUCCUGGGGCUGAAGUAGGUCCCAAGGGUAUGGCUGUUCGCCAUUUAAAGUGGUACGCGAGCUGGGUUUAGAACGUCGUGAGACAGUUCGGUCCCUAUCUGCCGUGGGCGCUGGAGAACUGAGGGGGGCUGCUCCUAGUACGAGAGGACCGGAGUGGACGCAUCACUGGUGUUCGGGUUGUCAUGCCAAUGGCACUGCCCGGUAGCUAAAUGCGGAAGAGAUAAGUGCUGAAAGCAUCUAAGCACGAAACUUGCCCCGAGAUGAGUUCUCCCUGACUCCUUGAGAGUCCUGAAGGAACGUUGAAGACGACGACGUUGAUAGGCCGGGUGUGUAAGCGCAGCGAUGCGUUGAGCUAACCGGUACUAAUGAACCGUGAGGCUUAACCUUACAACGCCGAAG
rnacentral:rRNA from 1 species